rnacentral:lncRNA from 1 species
CAUGGACUGUAUUAAAGCCUACCAGGCUCCUUCAUCCAUGGAAUUUUCCAGGCAAGAACAGUGGAGUAAGUUGCCAUUUCCUCCUCCAUGGGGAUCCUCCCGACCCAGGAAUCUAAGCCACGUCUCCUGCAUUGGCGAGUGGAUUCUUUAUCACUGGAACUACCCAGGAAGCCCUGAAGAACCAUGGAAGAAGACCUCAGAUACCCCACCUUAAAACAGGUGUGAGGCUUCUCUGGUGGCACAGUGGAUAAGAAUCUGCCUGCCAAUACAGGAGACAUGGGUUCAGUGCCUGGUCGGGGAAGAUCCCACAUGCCGUGGAACAACUGAGCCCAUGCACCACAACUACUGAGCCUGUGCUAUGGAGCCCAGGGGCUGCAGCAGCUGAGCCCGUGUGCUGCAACUACUGAAGCCUGCACCCUACAGCCAGUUCUCUGCAACAAGGGAAGCCACCACAAUGAGAAGUCCACCCACGGCAACUAGAGAGUAACCCCCACUCGCCGCACCUGAGUAAAGCCUGAGGAUCAACGAAGACCCAGCACAGCCAAAAAUAAGUAAAAUUAUUUCUUUCAAACGGGUGUGGAAAUACUUUUGUGCAAGUUUUAUACACAGGGAAGGUGAUACAGUCAUUGCCAUAUGACUUUGCCCACAUCAGCAAGGACUUGCCAGAAGCUGACUGCUUUUAUGGUCCUGAUGAUUUGUCUAGGUGUGUGGUAUUAUGGGCACUGGGACUGAAAAUAUGAGCCAGGGCAUCUUUUGGGGUAGGGAGGAGAGCAGAAGGCAAGAAGGAGACUUUGGAGAAACCCAGAAUUCAGAGGAAUAUCAUUUGGUUUGCAAAUGCUUUGUUUGAGAUCCCAGAGCUCUUCCUGCUAGUCUCUACGUUAAAUCUCACUAUUGUGGGGUGGGGAUCUGAAGUCCGCCCAGCAGCCUGAAUUCAGGAUGAGGGAAAUAAGCAGAUCUAGCUGAUUCAGACUGGUUGGGAUGGCCAGAAUGAAGCUUGUUCUGGCGUUUACUUCCCCUGCUGCAUCUCUCAAGCUUGCAAACCAGAGAUGUUGGCUCCUUUAAUCAGGAAACAGGACCACAGAUGGGGACAGUGUGGGGAGCAGAUUCUGCACUGGAACUGAGUUCCAAGGGCUUUAUCACCUCAGUCCUCACUCUGGAAGUUAGGGAUUACUGCCCGUAUUCCACAGUGGAAGAGACAGUCUCAGAAUGGGAAU